rnacentral:rRNA from 1 species
UACAGAGGUCCCGAGCGUUGUUCGGAUUCAUUGGGCGUAAAGGGUGCGUAGGCGGCUUUCUAAGUCUGAUGUGAAAUCCUGGGGCUCAACCCCAGAACUGCAUUGGAUACUGGAAGGCUAGAGUACUGGAGAGGAAACUGGAAUUUACGGUGUAGCAGUGAAAUGCGUAGAGAUCGUAAGGAAGACCAGUGGCGAAGGCGAGUUUCUGGACAGUAACUGACGCUGAGGCACGAAGGCCAGGGGGAGCAAACGGG